UACGUAGGGCGCAAGCGUUGUCCGGAAUUAUUGGGCGUAAAGAGCUCGUAGGCGGCCAGUUGCGUCCGCUGUGAAAUCCCGGGGCUUAACCCCGGGCGUGCAGUGGAUACGGGCUGGCUAGAGGCAGGCAGGGGAGAACGGAAUUCCCGGUGUAGCGGUGAAAUGCGCAGAUAUCGGGAGGAACACCGGUGGCGAAGGCGGGUCUCUGGGCAGUAACUGACGCUGAGGAGCGAAAGCGUGGGGAGCGAACAGG
rnacentral:rRNA from 1 species